GAUGAACGCUGGCGGCGUGCCUAAUACAUGCAAGUCGAGCGAACGGACGAGAAGCUUGCUUCUCUGAUGUUAGCGGCGGACGGGUGAGUAACACGUGGAUAACCUACCUAUAAGACUGGGAUAACUUCGGGAAACCGUAGCUAAUAACGGAUAAUAUUUUGAACCGCAUGGUUCAAAAGUGAAAGACGGUCUUGCUGUCACUUAUAGAUGGAUCCGCGCUGCAUUUGCUAGUUGGUAAGGUAACGGCUUACCAAGGCAACGAUGCAUAGCCGACCUGAGAGGGUGAUCGGCCACAGUGGAACGGAGACCCGGUCGAGACUCCUACGAGAGGCAGCAGUAGAGGAUCGUCCGCAAUGGGCAAAAGUCUGACAGAGCAACGCCGCGUGAGUAAUGAAGGUCUGCGGAUCGUAAAACUCUGUUAGUAGUGAAGAACAUAUGUGUAAGUAACUGUGCACAGCUUGGCUGUACCUAAACAGAAAACCGCGGCUAUCUGCG
rnacentral:rRNA from 1 species